GCAGCGAUGUCCGAGUGGUUAAGGAGUUUGACUAGAAACCAAAUGGGCUCUGCCCGCAUAGCUUCGAAUCCUGUUCGCAGCG
rfam:Toxocara canis scaffold1468, whole genome shotgun sequence.